rnacentral:rRNA from 1 species
AGAGUUUGAUCCUGGCUCAGGAUGAACGCUAGCGGCAGGCCUAACACAUGCAAGUCGAGGGGUAACAUAGAAAAGCUUGCUUUUCUGAUGACGACCGGCGCACGGGUGCGUAACGCGUAUACAACCUACCUUUUAGCGGGGAAUAGCCCAGGGAAACUUGGAUUAAUGCCCCAUAGUAUAUGGACUUCUCCUGAAGUUUAUAUUAAACAUUUAUGGCUAUUAGAUGGGUAUGCGUCCUAUUAGUUAGUUGGUAAGGUAACGGCUUACCAAGGCAGCGAUAGGUAGGGGUCCUGAGAGGGAGAUCCCCCACACUGGUACUGAGACACGGACCAGACUCCUACGGGAGGCAGCAGUGAGGAAUAUUGGACAAUGGGCGAGAGCCUGAUCCAGCCAUGCCGCGUGCAGGAAGACUGCCCUAUGGGUUGUAAACUGC